GUUAUUUCGGUUUAGUUAUUACCCCUAUUAUUUCUGUUGAUGUAUAGUUUAGUUGGUUUAUGUGAUUCAGUAUUUCAUUACUUUAAAAUAAAAGGAUUUCUGAAUUUUGUAAAAUAAAAGAUUUUCUACCCCUCGUGGUAGCGUUUUUUUAAAAGAUAAAAGUUCCCGUGUAGGGAACAGCUUUCAAAAGAUUUUCUGUGAUUUUGUAUCUUAGUAUUUCAAAACCUAUUUCUGUGGUUGGAAAUAUUUUAACUUAUAGGUGUGGAUUUAUGCAUAAAUGUGAAUCUGUGGUGAAUGGUGUAUGAAUAUAUAUAACGGUUGGUUAUUUGUAUGUUCGUUUGUUGUGGUUGUGCCUGGAUGACUUCUUGUACUUGUGCGACGCUGUGCAAAUACAGGAGAGACUCUGUCCGUGUGAACAGUGGAUUUCCUGUAUUUGUGGCGGAUCUGGCAUACUUUGGGGUCAGGUUUUCAAAAAAAAAGAAAUUCAGACGCUUUUCCGCUUUGUUUUAAACUAAAAAGGAACCCCGGGGCGUGACAUUUUUACACCGAACUAGAUUUUUU
rnacentral:lncRNA from 1 species